AAAACCCCAUUCGGCUCCGUCAAAUCGCCGCUGAAAAAGUUUCGUUCUUGAAUAUUGUUAUUAUUAUCGUGUUGAAGGAAAGUUAAUUUAAAAGUGGUAGCCGGUAUAUUAUAAUAAUAUUUUGUUUCAAACAGUAUACGGUAUAGAGCAUACUGGUUACAGUUUUACACUGAUUAUCUGUAUUCGCUCGUAGUUCAAAGGUUC